rnacentral:lncRNA from 10 species
CUCUAGCCUGGGAGACAAGAGCAAAACUCUGUCUCAAGUAAAUAAAUAAUAAAAAAUAAAUAAAAUAGCAUUUUACUUGGUACAUGUUUUUUUCCAUUUUAUGAUGUGGGGGCAGAAGUAACUCUUUAGCAGCUCAUACCCAGAUUCCUUUUACAGAGAGAGACCGUUUACUUGAACAGAGCUCUAAGGUAAACAAGAGUAACAAAAAGAAUCUCGACUAGGGAAGGAUUCUGCUUACAGUAAUCCAGGGGAGGAGGAAUACCUGAAUCAUACUUGAGCCUGGAAAAUCUAGAUCCUUGAUUUUCAAAUUAUUUGUCAUCUAAGAUUGUGUAUAACUUUGUAUAAGAUAUAGGCUUAGCAGUGUCCCCUUCAUAUUUACUUAUUAAAGAAAACCAAAACUUCCUUGAUUACAAAAACUGAAGUAUAUAUUUAAAAAGUUGUUAGUGGGAAGAAAAAUGAUGCCAGAGCCCAAGAAAUUAAUUAAGGCAAUAAUAGCAAGAGGACCAGAUGAACCAGAAGAAAGGAAAAUACAAAGAAAUUAAAAUCAGCAAAUAAAGCAAAAGUAUUCUAAAAUCUAAAUGGGAAUUUAAGUAAACAGAACAAAAAGGGGUUGAGAGGUUAUUGAAAACACAGGCAACCUUAAAUGUCUUGCAUUCUUUAAGCCUUUACAGAGUGUUAUUUUUAAAUUAUUAUUAUUAUUAUUAUUACUAUUAUUAUGAGAUGGAGUCUUGCUGUGUCACUCAGGCUGGAGUGCAGUGGCACGAUCUCGGCUCACUGUAACCUCCACCUCCCAGGUUCAAGCGAUUCUCCUGCUUCAGCCUCCCAAGUAGCUGGGACUACAGGUGUGUGCCAUCACACCCAGCUAAUUUUUGUAUUUU